CCCUUAGAUGUUCUGGGCUGCACGCGCGCUACACUGAUGCGCUCAACGAGUUUACGACCUUGCCCGGAAGGGUUGGGUAAUCUUUUUAAAACGCAUCGUGAUGGGGAUAGAUUAUUGCAAUUAUUAAUCUUUAACGAGGAAUUCCUAGUAAGCGCGAGUCAUCAGCUCGUGCUGAUUACGUCCCUGCCCUUUGUACACACCGCCCGUCGCUCCUACCGAUUGAGUGAUACGGUGAAUAAUUCGGACUGCAGCAGUGUUCAGUUCCUGAACGUUGCAGCGGAAAGUUUAGUGAACCUUAUCACUUAGAGGAAGGAGAAGUCGUAACA
rnacentral:rRNA from 1 species